rnacentral:rRNA from 1 species
CAUUGGUGACAGGUGGUGCAUGGUUGUCGUCAGCUCGUGUCGUGAGAUGUUGGGUUAAGUCCCGCAACGAGCGCAACCCUUGUCUUUAGUUGCCAUCAUUAAGUUGGGCACUCUAGAGAGACUGCCAGGGAUAACCUGGAGGAAGGUGGGGAUGACGUCAAAUCAUCAUGCCCCUUAUGCUUAGGGCUACACACGUGCUACAAUGGGUAGUACAGAGGGUUGCCAAGCCGUAAGGUGGAGCUAAUCCCUUAAAGCUACUCUCAGUUCGGAUUGUAGGCUGAAACUCGCCUACAUGAAGCUGGAGUUACUAGUAAUCGCAGAUCAGAAUGCUGCGGUGAAUGCGUUCCCGGGUCUUGUACACACCGCCCGUCACACCACGGGAGUUGGAGACGCCCGAAGCCGAUUAUCUAACCUU